GACGAACGCUGGCGGCGUGCUUAACACAUGCAAGUCGAACGGAAAGGCCCUGCUUUUGUGGGGUGCUCGAGUGGCGAACGGGUGAGUAACACGUGAGUAACCUGCCCUUGACUUUGGGAUAACUUCAGGAAACUGGGGCUAAUACCGGAUAGGAGCUCCUGCUGCAUGGUGGGGGUUGGAAAGUUUCGGCGGUUGGGGAUGGACUCGCGGCUUAUCAGCUUGUUGGUGGGGUAGUGGCUUACCAAGGCUUUGACGGGUAGCCGGCCUGAGAGGGUGACCGGCCAAAUGGGGACUGAGAUACGGCCAAGACUCCGACGGGGGGCAGCAGGGGGGAAUAUUGCAAAAUGGGCGGAAGCCUGAUGCAGCAACGCCGGGUGGGGGAUGACGGCCUUGGGGUUGUAAACCGCUUUCGCCUGGGACGAAGGGGGAGUGACGGUAAUGGGGAAAGAAGCACCGGCUAAAUACGU
rnacentral:rRNA from 1 species